GGGCCGGGGCUGCCCAGUCGGGCAAGGCCGCGGCGUGCGGCCUCCUCCGCCCUACGGGGCACGCUGGGCGAGGAGCUGCCCCCGGCCCGCAGCGGGAAGGCUUCUCCAGCUGUGCAUCCCUCUAGCUCAUGGAUGUCCAACCUUCUGGCUUUCCUAGACCGCAGUGAGUGAAGAAGAACUAUCUUGAGCUGCGUAUAAAAUACAUUUGUGCCUGAAGAUUGAAAAGCUGUGUCCUUUGCACUUUGCAGGACGGGCUAUUUGUAAGAGAGAAUAAUUGGAAGCUCCACCUGCCCUUUCUUGAAGGUACUGGUUGAACUUCAUUCAGAGCUCAGCAGCAUUUGAUAUGGCAUUUUUCUGCUGAUCUCUUCUAUCUCGGGACUGAAGGGAAGAAAAGCUCUAAGGAAGAACUCUCUGGAGUCAUUUACAUGAGGGAACUAGCCAAAUGCAUCAAAAUCUUUCAAGACUUGGAAGCGGCACCCAGAUGGAAAGGGAUAAUUUCCAGAUGUCAGCCCUACAUGGAAGCUUUCAAACCUUCAAAGAAAACUAUUCAUAGAGAAUUCAUCCUAUAAGAGACAUCAGAGAGAGAGAGAGAAUUAAUUGUUCUGUUUUGUUGUUUUGCAUCUGAAAUCCUUUUCCAAACUCUGAAUAUUGGUCUGUGUUUUUUGACUCACAAUGCACGUUAACUAUCAAUUGAAUUUUAACAUUCUGGCAGCACAUUAUAUCUAUUUGCACUUGGAAAACUUUUGUGUUUGUUUUCCCCAUGGGGCAUUCAGAUGAGCACUUUAUUAAUUAAGCUGCCCGGAAUCGUAUCCAGAUGAUUGGGAGGGCUACCACUUCUGUCAAGUGUGAGACAUCAUUGUUUGGAAAUAUGAAAGAAAGCUCUGGGGAAAAAAAUAACCCAUGAUUGAGCAUGCACUCAGGAAACAGUGCUCUGUGUCCUUCAAGUUCUUGCUCCCUAGGGCCUUCUUAGGAGAAUCUUUGUGCAAACAGUAAAGCUUAUAUUCUCAGUUUGUCUUCACAAUGAAAACUGCUGAUGUUUCUAACAUGCAAAUGUAAACAAACAAACAUACAACAGCAACAACAACAAAGAACAGGAGAAGAUAAAAUGUAUUCCUGAUUUUUUCUUUGAAGAUUCUGACUUGCUGCCAGGCAUGAAGCUUCAUAUUACAUGUGAAGAGUUGUAGCUCACAGAGGUUUCAACAAGUUCGUGGCUUUGCUAUGAGAAAUUUGUUACUUUUCCUCAUAAAAUACAUCAGGUGUGAAACUGGCAUGAAGGGAAAAGAGUGAAUAUCAAAGAAGGUGCUGCAUGGACACCUGCCUGUUUUUUCAAGUGAUUUUCUGGCCUGAGGCUGACACUACAAAGCAAAGAGAAGAAUUGGUAGCAGCUGUGUUGCCAAAAUUAUCUCCUGUUCCCUUUGAUGCAAAUGUUUUAGCCCUUUUUAACUUUUUCCAGUGAUGCAUAAGGGAGGAGUUCCAAUUUCACUUCAUCUUCCCCUAAAAGAAAGCACACGCCUAGUCACACAAUGGACUGGUCCAACUGGAUGCCACAAGUCCAUGGGGCCGGAUGAGAUUCACCCGAGAGUUCAUGUAGCAUCUAUUGGAUGUAAAUUCCUUCAAGAGUUAAAAAUAUCAUGUAUUUCAAAACCAGCUGUUUUCAGAACCAAAUAUUCCUUCCAAAAUGUUAUACUUAUAUAUAUCUUGGGCACUCUUCAGGUGCCCUUUGAACACUUGGGAAAUUCAAUGAUGAUAAAGAGUCAUCAAGAGUUUCUCUUGUAUCAUUUGGGUCCUAUCCCACUGUACUCUUGACACCAAGUAUAUUUUUCAAUCACCUCUAGAGAAGGGUCUGGGCGGGGACCUGCCAUAUUCUUUGUCUGAAUUCCAACUGGUCUGGUUUUGUACCCUGAGCUGUUGUUUGAUAUAACACUUCAGCCCAAUAGAUGGAUCUGGAAAUGCCUUUAAAUAAGUUUUCCAUUGCAGACAUCAGUCUCAGAUCAUCCAUGCAAUUAGCCCCUAUCUUUAUGUGUGAAAUUUUCUCUCUGUAGCCCAGACAUGACAUCCCACUUACACUCCUUCUGUCUUGCCAGAUGGUUAGUAUUUUAGGUGCUUUGUUGCUGCUGUAUCUGACAGUAACCUGACGGUGGUACUGGGGUUAGCAGAAGACCAACACUAUGUGUGCAGCACUUAUGCUUGCAUAAUCUUGUCUCUCCUCAAACUGAAUAUUCCUCUUUGGCACUUCCAGUGCUUUUGUGGCACCGAGAAAACUUCAAUAACAUUUCAGAUAUUCAUCUACUGGAAGUUGAGAUCAGAAAAGUUUUAACGCUGGGGGAAGGCUAAAUGAACACCUGAUUUUCUGAAAAGACCUAGCUCCAAGUCUUUUGUGUGGAAGUGUAGAAAAAAAAAGAAAAAAAAAAUCUGAUUUUUCUAAGGCACAGAAUUUCAUAAAUAAAAUGAUUCCCCAAUGAAUAAGAGAAGGAACAACCAAAAUGUUUGGUUCACUGAUUUUAAGACCAUGAGGGACCACUGUGAUUAUCAAGUCUGAGCAUCUGAAUAAAGCAGGCCAAAGAAUUUUCCACAUUAAUUCCUCUGUUAAAGCCAUACGUUGUAGCUGGAAAGCACAAGUGCUUAGACUCAGGAAGGAUGAGGGAAAGGAUCUCUUCUACGGAGGACAAACCUACUCACUUCUAGCUGAACACAGGUAACAUUGGGGAGCAGGAAAUAAAUUAGAGAACCAUUAUUAUUCACAGAAAAGACUCAGCUAAACCUUGAAUCAUCUAACACAGAGCAGAGUAAAAAUUAUACUGGAGUGUAGAGCUCAAGGUCAACAAUCAUAGGCUCCCAUGUUCCUUCUCUUGCUUUGCGUUCACAGCCCAGCUCAACAUGGUGGUACUGGAGGGUGGCUUUGCAGAAGGGACAGUAAGCAAACAGGGAGCAAGACAAGAACAUCAGACACUGAAAUUUAGGGGAAGACUGCAGCAGAGCUGCUAAUCCCACUUGAAAGGAUGAGUUUCUGUCCAAUUACAGUUUUUUUCCAAUCCACUGGGAAAGCCAUUACAUUGAUGGCAAUCGGAUGGGUGCAGCCAUGGCAAUCUUGAAAGUGUUUAGGAUAUCUUUGAUUAGAUGAUAUAGUGGGCAAAGCUUGAAAUUACUUCUAUAGCAAAAGCCUAGCGUGGAUAGAUUUUUAAUUAAAAUGAAUUAAUAUGGCAGUUCUAUUUGGAAAAAUCACAUGGAAGGGAGAAAAUAAAAUUAAAGAAUAUGAGAGAUGGAAAG
ensembl:lncRNA